CUCAUGGUUUCACGGUAUUGCAAUGAGAACAAUUUAAAACCCUUAGCGAGAAUCAAGUGGAGGACAAGUCUGGUGCCAGCACCCGCGGUAAUUCCAGCUCCACUAGCGUAUAUUAAAGUUGUUGCAGUUAAAAAGCUCGUAGUUGAACCUCUGUCUGGGGCUAGUUUUGGCUUUGGUCAGGCUAGUUCUAGGCAUCCGCCUACAAGACUUAGAGGGCAUUCAGUUGUUCACUAGGAGGAGUAGGCAUUUUACUUUGAAAAAAUUAGAGUGUUUAAGGCAGGCAAUCGCCCGCAUAUAUUAGCAUGGAAUAAUAGAAUAGGACACUUUUCCAUUUCGUUGGUUAUUGGAAUCGUGUAAUGAUUAAUAGGGACAGUUGUGGGCAUUUGUAUUUAAUUGUCAGAGGUGAAAUUCUUGGAUUUAUUAAAGACAAACUAACGCGAAAGCAUUUGCCAAGGAUGUUUUCAUUAAUCAAGAACGAAAGUUAGGGGAUCAAAGACGAUCAGAUACCGUCCUAGUCUUAACUAUAAACUAUUCCGACUCAAUGUUUGACUGGCUUAUAUAACCAGUUGAGCGUUGUAUGAGAAAUCAAAGUCUUUAGGUUCGGGGGGGAGUAUGGUUGCAAAGCUGAAACUUAAAGGAAUUGACGGAAGAGCACAACCAGGAGUGGAUUCUGCGGCUUAAUUUGACUCAACACGGGGAAACUUACCAGGUUAAAACAAUAGUGGGAUUGACAGUUUGAGAGCGCUUUCUUGAUUGGUUGGGUGGUGGUGCAUGGCCGUUCUUAGUUGGUGGAGUGAUUUGUCUGCUUAAUUGCGUUAACGAACGAGACCUUAACCUGCUUACUAGACUGGCGAUCAUCAAUCGUUAGCUCUUCUUAGAGGGACUUUGGUCGUUUUAACUCCAAGGAAGUUUGAGGCAAUAACAGGUCUGUGAUGCCCUUAGAUAUCCUGGGCCGCACGCGUCAUACAAUGACUAGUUCAGAAAGUUUUCUCCUGACCCGAAAGGGGAUGGGUAAUCUUGAUAAUACUAGUCGUGUUAGGGAUCGAUCUUUGCAAUUAUAGAUCUUGAACGAGGAAUUCCUAGUAAGUGCGGUUCAUCAGACCGUACUGAUUACGUCCCUGCUCUUUGUACACACCGCCCGUCGCUUCUACCGAGUGGGUGGUCCGGUGAGAUAAUUGAACUUCGCAGGUAACUGAGAGGAAAGAUUAUCAAACCUAUCCACCU
rnacentral:rRNA from 1 species